CCGCCAUCUCAUCUGGCAGUAAGCGGGUAGCUUCCUCCACCACCGGUUGACACGGCACUAGCCCGUUACCGCCGUUUCAAGCAGCCGCAUAGACUCAUUUUUGCAGUUUUUUUAUUCGACUAUAUAUUUGUGUAAAUUUGUAAAAAAAUAUAUAAAAAUAAAAAAAAUCGCAAGCAGCAGAGAGAACACGCCAGGCGCGUCGUCUCUGUCCGUUCGCGACGAAGUCGCGCGAGUCCGCUGCGCGAGGGGAGGAUCCCGCCGCCGCCGCCUGGUGCUCCACGCCUCCACCCGUCGCCGCCUGCUCCUCCUCCCGCCGCCGCCUGGCGCCUACCGCCUGGUGCUGUUGCCCUUCGUCCCGGCGCCGGGAUCCGCCCUCGGUCGCCGCCGGCGGUUCCUCACCUCGUUCGUCCGCGACGACGCCGGCCUGCUCGAAAACGCCAAGCCGCUGGCGGAGCGCGAUGGCCUCGUCCUUCUGCGCGCCUCUCCCCACGCCGCGGGCCAACAAUUGUUCAGCCUCUGUGUGUGCAGCCUGCUCACAGGCAAGCUGGACGUCCUCCCGCCGCUGGAUAUGGCUUGCUUCCACGACGAGGGCAUGCUGGGAUACGCCAUUCUCACAUCCGCCAACCAGGAUGAUGUGCCAGCCGAUGGAUACUCCAACUUGUGCCAGAAUUGGAGCACUGCACCGGCCAUUUGUUUUCCCAGUGGCCUAGAACUGUUCGCAGGGCCCUAUGGACGUGCUGCCGCCGUAUGUUGUGACACUGCACACUGGCUCUUUGAGGACUACCGACUACCGUACACCUGGAGUAAACUUGUAUACCGUUGAUGUAAAUGUCAAGACAGGGCAUGUCUGUGCAUCCAAAAUCUCCAUUGAAUCGUCUUUACCCA